UGACAUGUGUUGCGAUCACGUGA
rnacentral:siRNA from 1 species